UUGGAGAAGCCCCCCAAAUUUUGGGACAUAUAAAAGACAACUCUGUUCCGCGUAGCUGUUGACAUUAUAGUUGCGAAGGCACUUUGUUGACUCUAGAGUACCUCAGGCCAAUUGCACAUCCCCGUGGCGGCGACUUUGCAUGCGGAUGUCAUCCAUAUCAACUUUCGAUGCCAGUUUCUGCUCUUACCAUGGUGACCACGGAUAACAGGGAAUCAGGGUUCCAUUCUGUACAGGGACCCUGAGAAACGACUACCACAUGCAAGGAAGGCAGCAGGCGCGCAAAUGACCCACUCCCGACGCGGGAAGGUAGUGACGA